GGUGCAUGGUUGUCGUCAGCUCGUGUCGUGAGAUGUUGGGUUAAGUCCCGCAACGAGCGCAACCCCUGCAUUCAGUUGCCAACGGUAAGGCCGGGCACUCUGGAUGGACUGCCGGCGACAAGCCGGAGGAGGUGGGAUGACGUCAGGUCAUCAUGGCCCUUAUGUCCAGGGCGACACACGUGCUACAAUGGCCGGCACAGCGGGAAGCGAGGGGGCGACCUUGAGCGGAUCCCUCAAAGCCGGUCUCAGUUCGGAUUGCAGUCUGCAACUCGACUGCAUGAAGUUGGAAUCGCUAGUAAUCGUGGAUCAGCCAAGCCGCGGUGAAUACGUUCCCGGGCCUU
rnacentral:rRNA from 1 species